CAUGAACUCUUCAGAUGGUCCCACAGUCCCCAGAGGAAUUUCCAUGCCACAGUCACCCUAACACACCCAGAACCUUAAGAUCACUGAGGAGAAUUGGCCUUCAGAGAGGGCUCUGAGCCCAGGACUCAGAACAGGGGAUAGAGCUUGAUGAUGAUGGAAUACACCCUAAAGAAAUUCUCGACCACUUAUCUAUAUUCCAAAUAUGAUAGCCUGAAAGAAACAAUGGAGGCAAAUUGAAGAAUCUACUAACAAGAACAUGCUCAACACCAGAAGUCAUGUAGUCUCCAUGGUAGUGUGAGCAGUGAGACUUCAUAGGUCAAGCCAGGAGGAAUCAGAGUGAGGGAGACUUUUACUAAACCCAAGGGAGUGCAUUUU
rnacentral:lncRNA from 1 species